GCGGGAGUGGUGAAAUUGGUAUACACGCAGGUUUUAGGUACCUGUGCCGGAAGGCGUGAGGGUUCAAGUCCCUUCUCCCGCACCG
rnacentral:tRNA from 1 species